rnacentral:rRNA from 1 species
CCCUUAGAUGUUCUGGGCCGCACGCGCGCUACACUGAACAGUUCAACAAGUCUUAACCUUGGCCGAUAGGUCUGGGUAAUCUUUGAACGCUGUUCGUGAUUGGGAUAGACCUUUGCAAUUAUGGGUCUUCAACGAGGAAUUCCUAGUAAACGCAAGUCAUCAGCUUGCAUUGAUUACGUCCCUGCCCUUUGUACACACCGCCCGUCGCACCUACCGAUCGAAUGGUCCGGUGAAAUCUCGGGACGGCGGCUUGGUCGCUUGCGUCCGACUGCUGAAACUUGAUUAAACUAUAUCAUUUAGAGGAAGGUGAAGUCGUAACA